rnacentral:rRNA from 1 species
AGGGUUUGAUCAUGGCUCAGGAUGAACGCUGGCGGCGUGCCUAAGGUAUGCAAGUCGACCGUAUUCCGCUUGUCGGAAUUUGCGGGGCAGACGGCUGAGUAACACGUAAGAAUCUACCUUUAACUCGAGAACAAUCCCGUGAAAACGGGGCUAAUGCUCGAUAGUCCCACAUUCUGUAGUGGUUUGUGGGUAAAGCUUCGGUGGUUAAAGAGGAGCUUGCGUCCUAUCAGGUAGUUGGUGAGGUAAAGGCUCACCAAGCCUAUGACGGGUAGCUGAUCUGAGAGGAUGAUCAGCCAGACUGGGACUGAAACACGGCCCAGACUCCUACGGGAGGCAGCAAUUAGGAAUCUUGCGCAAUGGGGGGAACCCUGACGCAGCGACGCCGCGUGAAGGAUGAAGGCCUUCGGGUUGUAAACUUCUUUUAUAGGGGAACAAAGCUGAGUGUACCCUAUGAAUAAGCGCCCGCUAACUAUGUGCCAGAAGCGUCGGUGAUACAUAGGGCGCAAGCGUUAUCCGGAAUUACUGGGCGUAAAGUGAUGCGUAGGCGUUUAGGUAAGUUAUUUGUUAAAUAUCUCUGCUUAACGGAGAAAAAGCAAGUAAUACUGCUUAAAUAGAGACAGGAAGGGGAAAGGGGAAUUCCUGGUGGAGUAGUGAAAUACGUUGAUAUCAGGAGGAACACCAAGCGCGAAAGCACCUUUCUGGUCCUGUUCUGACGCUAAGGCUCGAAAGCGUGGGUAGCAAAACGGAUUAGAUACCCGUGUAGUCCACGCUGUAAACGUUCCUCGCUAGAUGUUUGUUUCAAAUUUCAGUUAUUUAACUUCGGUUAAGUACUAUUUUUGGAAUGGGUGUCGCAGUUAACGCGUUAAGCGAGGCGUCUGAGGAGUACGGCCGCAAGGCUAAAACUCAAAGGAAUUGACGGGGACCCGCACAAGCGGUGGAGCGUGUGGUUUAAUUCGAUGCAAAGCGAAGAAUCUUACCAAGGCUUGACAUCCUGCUGCGAAUCUCGAGAAAUCGAGACAUCCUUCGAGGGAGCAGGACAGGUGCUGCAUGGCUGUCGUCAGCUCGUGUCGUGAGAUGUUGGGUUAAGUCCCUUAACGAGCGCAACCCUUGUCCUUAGUUAUAAUUUCUAGGGAGACCGCCCUGCCAAAACGGGGAGGAAGGUGAGGAUGAUGUCUAGUCAUCAUAGCCCUUAUGUCUUGGGCGACACACGCGCUACAAUGGGAGAUACAAUGGGUAGCCAAGUCGUAAGGCGGAGCUAAUCCCUUAAAAUCUUUCUCAGUUCGGACUGUAGGCUGAAAUUCGCCUAUAUGAAGUCGGAAUCGCUAGUAAUCGUGGAUCAGCAUGCCACGGUGAAUACGUUCUCGGGUCUUGUACACACCGCCUGUCAUGCUAUGGAAGUCGGUAAUAUCCGAAUACUGCACUGGUUGCGGUAGAAGGUAGGAUCGGCGACUGUAGUAAAGUCGUAACAAGGUAGCC